GACGAACGCUGGCGGCGUGCCUAAUACAUGCAAGUCGAACGCAGUGGGGACGGGUGAGUAACACGUGGGUAACCUCCCAUCAGAGGGGAUAACACUUGGAAACAGGUGCUAAACCGAUACUGCUGGAUGGACCCGCGGUGCAUUAGCUAGUUGGUGAGGUAACGGCGCACCAAGGCCACGAUGCAUAGGCGGUCUGAGAGGGGGAUGCGCCACACUGGGACGGAGACACGGCCCAGAACCCUACGGGAGGCAGCAGUAGGGAAACUUCGGCAAUGGACGAAAGUAUUACCGAGCAACGGCGCGUGAGGCAAGAAGGGUUUCGGAUCGUAAAACUCUGUUGUUAGGGAAGCGGUAUCUAACCAGAAAGCCACGGCUAACUACGUGCCAGCCGCCGCGGUAAGUC
rnacentral:rRNA from 1 species